GACGAACGCUGGCGGCGUGCUUAACACAUGCAAGUCGAACGGAAAGGCCCUGCUUUUGUGGGGUGCUCGAGUGGCGAACGGGUGAGUAACACGUGAGUAACCUGCCCUUGACUUUGGGAUAACUUCAGGAAACUGGGGCUAAUACCGGAUAGGAGCUCCUGCUGCAUGGUGGGGGUUGGAAAGUUUCGGCGGUUGGGGAUGGACUCGCGGCUUAUCAGCUUGUUGGUGGGGUAGUGGCUUACCAAGGCUUUGACGGGUAGCCGGCCUGAGAGGGGGACCGGCCACAUGGGGACUGAGAGACGGCCCAGAAUCCUACGGGAGGCAGCAGGGGGGAAUAUUGCACAAUGGGCGGAAGCCUGAUGCAGCAACGCCGCGUGCGGGAUGACGGCCUUCGGGUUGUAAACCGCUGUCGCCUGUGACGAAGCGUGAGUGACGGUAAUGGGUAAAGAAGCACCGGCUAACUACGUG
rnacentral:rRNA from 1 species